GAAGGGCUUGGCUCUUCCUGUAAUUGGGUGACUCUUGGGUGGCUCUCUGGUUCCUCUCGUCUGACCUGGGCUUGUCCUAUCCCAACUGGCAUCUCCCAGGAGUCUCUCCAGUGUACCUCUGUCCAGUUGGAACUGGCCAGAAAUAAUCAGCUGCAAUCGAUCAUCAUCAAGAAACCGGAUCAACAGAAAACCUAACUGCCUUCCAUUGUUCCUUUAGGUGAGGGUCUGCCUGCCCCAGUGCGGGAGCCUCAGUUAUCUUGAUCCUUCUGGAAAGAUCCUUGAGGAAAGAUGCAAAUCCUCAAUACAAAGUUUUUUAACUCAGAAAGGGCAGUCCUUUCCACUUCGACGGCAACUUUUCCCUGUGAGUGUCUCUUGGAUAAGAGCCAUGUGGUUCACCUAGUAGGAAAGAGGUUCAUUUGGACACCCAGGGCUUAAGCACGUACUGCAUGACCCCAGUGCCAAGACCACAAGGAUGACAGGGUGUUUAGGAAGUGAAUGGGACUGGGCGAAGUCUAAAGGUGGACUCCCAUGGUGGCUGCUCCAACAAGAAGAUCCUAAGACACUUAUUCUGUCUCACCAGUUGUCAAGAAAGUCUUCCCCAAAAGCUAGCACCAGAAGUGUGAACUAAUAAACUCCUAGUCUUUAU
rnacentral:lncRNA from 1 species